AGGAUGAACGCUGGCGGCGUGCUUAACACAUGCAAGUCGAACGAUGAAGCGGAGCUUGCUCUGUGGAUUAGUGGCGAACGGGUGAGUAACACGUGAGUAACCUGCCCUUGACUCUGGGAUAAGCACUGGAAACGGUGUCUAAUACCGGAUACGAGCUUCAGCCGCAUGGCUAGGAGUUGGAAAGAAUUUCGGUCAAGGAUGGACUCGCGGCCUAUCAGGUAGUUGGUGAGGUAAUGGCCCACCAAGCCUACGACGGGUAGCCGGCCUGAGAGGGUGACCGGCCACACUGGGACUGAGACACGGCCCAGACUCCUACGGGAGGCAGCAGUGGGGAAUAUUGCACAAUGGGCGCAAGCCUGAUGCAGCAACGCCGCGUGAGGGACGACGGCCUUCGGUUGUAACCUCUUUUAGUAGGAAGAAGCGAAAGUGACGGUACCUGCAGAAAAGCACCGGCUAACUACGUGCCAGCAGCCGCGGU
rnacentral:rRNA from 1 species